rnacentral:rRNA from 1 species
AACGCGAAGAACCUUACCAGGUCUUGACAUCCUUUGAAGCUUUUAGAGAUAGAAGUGUUCUCUUCGGAGACAAAGUGACAGGUGGUGCAUGGUCGUCGUCAGCUCGUGUCGUGAGAUGUUGGGUUAAGUCCCGCAACGAGCGCAACCCUUAUUGUUAGUUGCCAGCAUUCAGAUGGGCACUCUAGCGAGACUGCCGGUGACAAACCGGAGGAAGGCGGGGACGACGUCAGAUCAUCAUGCCCCUUAUGACCUGGGCUACACACGUGCUACAAUGGCGUAUACAACGAGUUGCCAACCCGCGAGGGUGAGCUAAUCUCUUAAAGUACGUCUCAGUUUUGUCAUUGUAGUCUGGAACUCGACUACAUGAAGUCGGAAUCGCUAGUAAUCGCGGAUCAGCACGCCGCGGANCCCG